CGUUAGCGGCGGACGGGUGAGUAACACGUGGGUAACCUACCUAUAAGACUGGGAUAACUUCGGGAAACCGGAGCUAAUACCGGAUAAUAUUUCGAACCGCAUGGUUCGAUAGUGAAAGAUGGUUUUGCUAUCACUUAUAGAUGGACCUGCGCCGUAUUAGCUAGUUGGCAAGGUAACGGCUUACCAAGGCGACGAUACGUAGCCGACCUGAGAGGGUGAUCGGCCACACUGGAACUGAGACACGGUCCAGACUCCUACGGGAGGCAGCAGAG
rnacentral:rRNA from 1 species